rnacentral:lncRNA from 1 species
AGCAAUCUUAAGGAAUUGGCUCAAGCGAUUAUGGUGGCUGGCAAGUAUGGAAUCUGUAGGGUGGGCUGACAGAAAUUCUAGCUCGAGUUGACAUUGAAGUAUUGAGUGCAGAUUUGCAGAGUAGGCCAGAAAUGGAAACUUAGCAUUUGUAUGUUACACCUUUGAAGCAGAACUUCUUUUCCAGGAAACCUUGGUUUUUCCUCUUAAGGCUUUGCUCUCAAGGCUGAUUAGAUAAGGCCCAUCUACAUUAUGGAAGAUAAUAAUUUGCUUUUCUCAAAGUCUAUAGAUGAGAAAUUAUCAUUAUAUCUAAUAUGUUUCUUUCUAGCAAUAUCCAGACUGGUGUUUGAUCAAACAACUGGGUAUCAGAGCCUAGCCAAGUUGACAUAUAAAAGGAAACAUCACGUUACCUGGGACUAA